rnacentral:rRNA from 1 species
UGCAGUGCCUCGGCCGGUGCUUAGCAGCCAACUUACAACUGUUGUGCACCAGGGGAAUCCGACUGUUUAAACAAAGCAUUGCAAAGGCCCUCGGGGGUGUUGCAAAGUGAUUUCUGCCCAGUGCUCUGAAUGUCAAAAUGAAGAAAUUCAAUGAAGCAUGGGUAAAUGGUGGGAGUAACUGUGACUAUCUUAAGGUAGCCAAAUGCCUCGUCAUCUAACUAGUGAUGUGCAUGAAUGGAUUAAUGAGAUUCUCACUGUCCCUACCUACUUACUCUCCAGUGAAAAAACAGCCAAGGGAAUGGGAUUGGUGGACUCAGUGGGGAAAGAAGACCCUGUCCAGCUUGACUCUAGUGUGGCAUGGUGAAGAGAUGUGAGAGGUGUAGAAUAAGUGGGAGGUCCCCAGUGCCCCCCUGUCCCCGUGAGGGGGUGGGGUGGGGUCCUGUGGGCUGCCCAUGGAAUACUACUACUCUGACCGUUUUUCACUGACCCGGUGAGGCAAGGGGUGAGCCCCGAGGGGCUCUCCCUUCUGGCGCCAAGUGCCCAGCUGUGCACCAGCCGGAUGUGACCUGUUCCGGGGACAGUGCCAGGUAGGGAGUUUGCAGCGGUAAACCUGUUGAACUGUAAUGCAGGUGUCCUAAGGCGAGCUCAGGGAGGACAGAAAUUUCUUAAGGAGAAGAGCAAAAGCUCGCUUGAUAUUAAUUUUCAGUGCGAAUGCAGACUGAAAGCCGGGCUUUGACGAUCCUUCUCACCUUUUUAAGCAGGAGGUUGUCAGGAAGUUACCACAGGGGAUAACUGGCUUGUUGCGGCCAAGUGUUCUUAGGGACGCUGCUUUUUGAUCCUUUGAUGUUGGCUCUUCCUAUCAUUGUGAAGUAGAAUUCACCCAGCAUUGGAUUGUUCAACUAAUAGGGCACGUGAGCUGGAUUUAGACCAUCAUGAGACAGGUUAGUUUUACCCUAAGUGAUGUGUUGCCAUGUUACCUACUCAGCAUGACAGGAACCACAGGUUCAGACAUGUGCUUGGUUUAGGAGCCAAUGGGGUGAAGCUACCGUCUGUUGGAUUAUGACUGAACGCCUCUAAGUCAGAAUCCCACCCAAGUGGAAGAUACAGCAACACUGUGGAGCCUUGGUUGGCCUUGGAUAGCCGGGUCCCCGUCCCUGCUGGUGGGCUGCCGCACCCUGGGGGGGUGUGCCCCACCGUGU